rnacentral:lncRNA from 1 species
UACAGAUGACAAGAAUAUCUUAAUGACCCAUAGCACGCCAGAGAGAGUCAUCAUCUUCAUAUACACUUUUAGUCAAUACCGGGGAAGACGGGUAGUCGAGAACCCAAAGCAUUAUGCUCAAGGAAGGAAGACUUGAUGCUCAAGGAAGGAAGACUUGACCGACUAAUUACCUUCCCUGUACGAGGCCACUGAAGACUUGGCUGUUCCCAGCCAAUGUUGCCUCCCACUCGACGGAAGAUAACAGGAUUUGGGACAGAGAAAUCACCACUUGUUUCAU